ensembl:snoRNA
GGCCUCCUGGUACUUACCAUAAGCUGUGUUCUUGCACCAACUGUGUAGAGAGGAGCAGAGUAAGCUACUACUUAUUAGCCUUAUUCUGGGCCGUGUGUCUGGUCUGUAUUAUGAGUGGGGGACAUGG